rnacentral:tRNA from 1 species
GGGUUUAUAGCUCAGUUGGUUAGAGCACUACCUUGACAUGGUAGGGGUCGUUGGUUCGAAUCAAUUAAACCCACCA